CUCAAUACUUUUUGUGCCAGCAUAAUUUCAACAUAGGAAAACUUGGCUCUUUUUUUAACAGUAAUGUUUUUGUUGUGAUUUCACUACUUUUUGCAAGGUAUGGCUGUAGAAUUGAAAAUCUCUAUUUUUGAUGAAAAUUCAAUGAAAAUGGGCGGUUGCCACGCCCCCUGGUUGAAAUUCUCAAACUUUAAUUUUUUUUCUUUGUAUAAACUACCAGCUCUACCAAAUUUCAAGGUUCUACGAUAAUCAGAAGUGCUCUAAAAUAUUUAAUGAAAAUUCAGCGGAAAUGGGCGGUUGCCACGCCCCCUGGCUAAAAUUCUCAAAUUUUAAAUUUUUUCCUUUGUAUAAAUUACCAGCUCUACCAUUCUACCAAAUUUCAAGAUUCUACGAUAGUCAGAAGUGCACUAUAAUAAUUGAUGAAAAUUCGGCGAAAAUGGGCGGUUACCACGCCCCCUGAAUUGAAAAUCUCAAAUUUUUGAUUUUUUCCUUUGUAUACACCACAAGUCCUAUCACCAUGUAAAAUUUCAAGUUUCUACGAUAGCGGGAAGGUCUCCAUAAUUUUGAUGAUCUGUCAGUGAGUCAGUGAGUCAGUUACGGUUUUUGCGAUUUUUGAAGUCCUUUAUCUUAGAAACUACUCAUCGCAAGAAGCUGAAAUUUUGUGAGGAAUUUGGGUUCGGCGAGCUCAACAAAUGUAGCGAGUUUGAAAUUUCUGGCAUAUUUGGUGUGGAAGUUAGAGGGGGGUCGAAAAUGGCCUGAGUUGUUUCCUGUAAAUAAGGGUGUAGUGCCAAAGUUGCUAGAGAACUUGGCUGGGCACUACCGUGCCCCUUGAUAAUAUUUGCAUUUAAAGUAGGUAUAGCUCAAACUUCCUAAAUAAAAAAAAAUAUGUUGUGAGAAACUUUUCCUUAGCAAAUGGACUUAUUAUGAUUUGAAAAUAAAUGACUCAAUUUCAAAAGAAGAGUUUCAGUUGUUUAUAGGUAGUUUUAAUAUAAUUUCAAAGGAUUUUUUCGAGUUUUUCUACCGGUUGUUGUUUAUCUCAGUUUCAAAUUUGACAGAAUACAUCUUGAAAGUUUUCAUUUGUACAUAUUUUCGUCAGUACUUCGUAGUCGAAGUGGAGAACAGAGGGAAGAAUUCGGCUCGGAAAAGUACUUUUUUCCUUCCUAUGAGUUUCGAUUUAAAAAAGGAUUAGAUUUAAUAAUUUUUGGUAUGUGGUUGCAAUCAGAUUUGAUGAAAUAUUAUGGUGAAGCUCUUGAUAGCUUAUAAAAAUUGGAUUUAACCAAAGUUGUUCACGUGGUGUUUUUCCGGGCGAAACUCAUGAUAGGGCUGAUUGCUUCACCUUUGGAUUAUAUGAUUUAAAAAGAAGAAAAGAAACUAAUUAAACGUCGCAUAAUGUAUUUGGCUUAUGUCUUAUAGUAACACAAAGUGCUGCUUUUGCCGAAAUAAGUGCAAAAACUGAAAUUUGGAAUAUGGAUUUGCUUAUUUAUUUUUUCAUAAAGUACCUUAUACUUUAGCCAAGCAUUGAUAAAUUGGAUAUUUUGUGAACCUACUUGUUCUGCCUGAAAUAGUUUGAAAGUUAGAAAGUUUGAAAUAUUAUUAUUUCUUAAUAAUUUGAAUACUGUAAUAGAACUUUAAAAUUAACAAACAGAAGGAUAAGUUAUAAUUCUACAGAUUCUUGGAUUUCACCUAAAAGUAGGGACUGGUAAAAAAAACGUGUUUUUUCUCUUGCAUAUAUUGAGAUUUUCUUUUCUUUUUUUACAUGUCUUCAUUUAAAAAAUGCAUAGUAUAUAAUAUUUUAUUCAAAAUAAAAAGUUUAGAUUUUACUAUAAAAAAUAUAUUUCAGUACAUCAAAAUCUUCAAGUUUUCCAAAAAUUUAAUAUGUGAAAUUACGCUUGUUAUUAGGUAAUUCUUCCUAAGCUUAGGCAAAUUUUCCCGCCCAUUACCUAGAUCUGCGUAACUUUACGUUAGUCCAUUAGGUUAUUCUUCCUAAGCUAAGGUAGAUUUUCCCGCCCAUUACCUAGAUCUGUGUAACUUUACGUAAGCCCAUUAGGUCAUUCUUCCUAGGCUGAUGUACAUUUUUCCGCCCUAGAUCUAUGUUAUAUUUACGUUACCCCAUUAGGUAAAAAUUAUGAAAAGAAUCGUUUCUGUUCUGAACCGAUUUAUGCACAAAAUUUAUUUCAAUGAAUCGAGCUUAUGAAAACUCGGUUUAAUAUAAUUUCUACGAUGUUUAUUGUCAGAACUCAGAACAAACUGGUUGAGCCCACUAUUAUCAAGAGAAAAAUGUAGGGGAAAGGUGCGAACAUUGAGACACUUUCUUAAAUUGUUAUAUGUAUUUCAGAAAGUUUCCAAGCUAUCUUAACCAAACUUUAAAGUCAUUUUAAGACAUUAAUAUUGCAGAAAAAGUUAUAAUUAUAGAAUGAAUUAGAGCAUCACAUUAAACUAAAAUGUAGAAAAAGUCAAAACGUCUCACUGUUUGCAAGGGAUGCGAGCAGUAAGACGGACGAAUAAAACAGAAAGAAAUUGACAAAAACGUCAAAUAAGUAAGUAACUAGCAGUUUAAUAUAUUAAACUAUGUUACUUUAAACCCAUUUCUUGAAAAAAGUUACAGAAAAAGAAAUAAACGAAAGAAAAAAAAACAAGAUCAUACUGAAAUAAUUUUCAAUUCCUAGAUUUUUUAAAAUCUAUGUCUCACUGUUUGCUUUUUUGCAUUUUCUUACUGUUUGUUUUUUGUCAUUUCUCGGAAAAAAUAUUAAAUUACUAAAAACGACGAGGAAUUUUUAGUUAUAGUUAUUUUUGUAUGAAAGAAGAUAAUAUUUUCUUUAUAUUAUACAUGUAAUACAUAUGUAAAAAAAAGCUAUGUCUAUUAAACUGAUUUUUUUUGUGUUCUACACUCUCUUCAUAACACUCGAAAAAAUACUUCCAUCUGAUUUUGUGUGAUAUUUUCCAAUGUAGGAAAAUGAAAAUGUUGCCGGAUUGUCUCAGUAUUCGCACUCUCUCACUGUAAGCACCUUUCCCCUAUCUUGUUUGAAAAUUUAAAUUAAAUUAAUACCUUGACCAAGCUUUGAGAAAUUGGAUAUUUUGUCAGUUUUAUUUUUGGCUAUAUUAAGUUUGUUUUGACAUUUUUGAAGUAUUUGUUUUUAACUGAAGUUUAGAUACUAAUUUAGCUUGAGCAGCAAACUAGGCAAUGCAGUAGAAUAAAGUAAUAAAUUGGUGUUCUGCUACUAAACAAAUAUCAUUCUCUAAAAGACUUCGCUUUAUUAAAUGUAAACCCUCAAUUUAUUUAUGCCAAAUUCUUCUUUUUCUUUUUUUUUUCUUGUCAAAAUACUACUGUAGUAUCAUGUUCGACAGCACUGAGGCCAAUGGGAGCACCGUGUAUAAAUUUACUGAUUGCGCCGCCAUCUUAUUAAUUAAUAAUUUGUCAUUUCGUGUUCUACCGUCGUCAGUGACAGAUGUUCGCCUUGUAAAAAAAAGUGUAGUAACAAGUGAAAUUAUAAAAAAAAAUAUUGAAACCUAACUAAAACUCAAAAAUAAAGUAAAUAAAAGUGAAUACAUAUAUGUAAGGAAACCAAAUAAACAGUUGAAUAAAAAAAAAAAAAACAAUAAAUCAAAAAGAAAAAAACAGAAGAAUAAAAAACGAAGAAGCAAACCAUUUACCAGCGCAAAAAAGGAAGUUCUUUAAAUAUAUUUAAACCACCCCAUUCCUGUCGCAUCAAGUAGUUUAUCUUUAGCAUAUAUUUCAUAUUGAACCAAAAUUAUUUGAUUUUUUUUUUAUUUUGACUUGAAAAUUAUGUUUUCAAAAAUGUUUCGCUUGAUCAUGUUGGUGUAUUUAGCCGGUGUAAUUUUACGCAAGCUCUUGGGUAAAUCAGCCUUAUAUACAAGGUGAUUUUCUCUAGAUCUAUGUAACUUUGCGCUAGCACUUAGAUAAAAGUGCUUUAUUUUAUUUUCCCGCCCAUUGUUUCGAGUAGUUUGCGGCAGAUAUCUUGAUAAAUUUUCAUUUCAUGUUUCCUGGAAUUCCAUUAUUCUAAUGUGUUAAAUUACGCUAGCCAUUAGGUAAUUCUUCCCAAGCUAAGACAACUUUACGUUGUAAAAAUGCCUAAGCUAAGGCAACUUUACAUUAGCCCUUAGGUAAAAGUGCCUUAUUUAUGUGCUGAUUUGAAUUCUGAGGCGUAUAUAAUAUGUCAAGAAAUUUCAACAAUAUUUGAUGACCAUUUUUUUCUUAAGAAAUACUUUCAAGUCCAAGUCAGUUACACAUAAAAUCAAUCGAAGAAUUUGACGGACCUCCAGUUAACCUGAUCCUGUGUGGCAGUACUUUUAUUCAUAGAAAAUACUUUUUUUUAAACAAAAGUUCACAUCCUUCAGACGUAAUGAAUUCGCAAUCUGAGGAUGAUCUAAUCAUAUUUCAAGACCCUAAUCCAAGUGCAAGUGUAUCGAACGCAUCCCUUGAAAAUAUAAAAUCAGAGCAAAUGGUCCUGAGCAAUGGCACUGAGCUAGUAAUCAUCCAGCAAACAGUUUAUGUGAUUGAUGAAACAGGAUGUAUAAAUCAAGUUGAUAUGUAUCCACAAAACAUUCAGGAAGCAAAUGAUUUGUAAUAUCAGAAGAAAAUCUGAAUGAUGAGCUAGCUUGUCUGUUAAGAUCUUUUAAUUUAUAUGACGAACUUUAUAUUUUUUUAAAAGGUAAAACUAAUGCAAAAUCUUUUAUAUUCUUAUUUGAUACUUCUAAUGUUUAUAUGUUUAAAAUAUUAUCAGGCAAGCAAGCACAUAAAUACAAAAGGUCUAAAAUAUAUUCAGAAACAUCACAUAGAUAGGUUGUUUGAAGGAUUAGACAAAUUUAAUACUAGAAUUAUUUUUAGCACAAACUUGGCACCUGGCAAAGUGUUAACGAAAUUUUUAAUCUGACAUCGUAAUAUGAUAUAAAUAAUGGUUAAUGAUGUACAUAACAAAACUGAGCAAGGACAAGCUUUAAAAACGAACUACAAGAAAAACCUUUAUUUAAAACCUGAAGACAGAACCAAUGUUGAAAGGAAAAUUAUUCAAUACUACAGUACCGGAAACAACAGAAAUCUUUAAGUGAAGAUUCUGAACAAAAAGCAACCUACUUUGUUCCAGGAGUCAACAGAGCUCCCCCAAAGGCAAACUUUAUGACAGAUACAGAGGACAAACAAGGGCAAUGAAAAUAUUAAAUGUACAUAGAUGAUUGCUCUUCCACUUCCAAAUCCAAAAAAACUAAAGUUCAAGUUAUCGUGGAAGAUACAAACAAAGACCAGUUUUCGUCCACAAACACCAUAUCCAUAUAAAGAUCUAUGUAUACCUACAUCCAUUUGCAUGCCAGAUGCUCCCAGAUAGCCAUUUUAAUGUUUAAAAAUUCAACUUUUUGAAUUUUUUUUUAUGCCAUUCGUUUGUGAUUCGUUUGUGACUCGCUAGUUUUUUAGUUAUUAACAAAUAAAUAGUUUGUGACAACUUAGUUUUCGAGAAAAAUAAGAAAAACUAAUUAAAUUUCACCACACUUUCAUUUUGUUUAUCAAUAUGGGCGGAGCUAUGCAUAGGAUUCAUGAUGCUGAGGUGAGUUUUUAUACUUUGAGGUGAGCAACAUGUUGCAAAUGUAUACAAGUAUAGAAGAUUGAUUGUAAGCAAAAACUACUGUUGUUUCUACUUCAAUGAAGGGAAAUGGAGUUUGAAUUUUUUAUUUAUAAAUCAAAAUAAGUCAGCGACUACCAUUUUCAUCUAAACUCUUACGGCUUAACCUUAUCUAAUGUUUAACUUCAUUCUAUUGAAAAUUGUUAACAUAUUUCGAACUUACUAACAAAAUCGUUUGUGGUUUAACAAAUUGUUUGUGAUAGCCUAUUUUCCAAAAUCUUUCUGUGGCUGGUCUAAAUUUUUACUCAUUCCAUUUGAAAUUGUUUCAACUAAUAGAAUUUUCUAAAUAAAUCGUUUGUGACAACCUAGUUUGUUUGUGAUAGCCUAUUUUCCAAAAUAUUUCUGUGGCUGGUCUAAAUUUUUACUCAUUCCAUUUGAAAUUGUUUAAACUAUUAGAAUUUACCAAAGAAAUCGUCUGUGACAACCUAGUUUGUUUGUGAUAGCCUAUUUUCCAAAAUCUUUCUGUGGCUGGUCUAAAUUUUUACUCAUUCCAUUUGAAAUUGUUUAAACUAUUAGAAUUUACCAAAGAAAUCGUUUGUGACAACCUAGUUUGGUUGUGAUAGCCUAUUUUCCAAAAUCUUUCUGUGGCUGGUCUAAAUUUUUACUCAUUCCAUUUGAAAUUGUUUAAACGAUUAGAAUUUACCAAAGAAAUCGUUUGUGACAACCUAGUUUGUUUGUGAUAGCCUAUUUUCCAAAAUCUUUCUGUGGCUGGUCUAAAUUUUUACUCAUUCCAUUUGAAAUUGUUUAAACUAUUAGAAUUUACCAAAGAAAUCGUUUGUGGCAACCUAGUUUGUUUGUGAUAGCCUAUUUUCCAAAAUCUUUCUGUGGCUGGUCUAAAUUUUUACUCAUUCCAUUUGAAAUUGUUUAAACUAUUAGAAUUUACCAAAGAAAUCGUUUGUGACAACCUAGUUUGUUUGUGAUAGCCUAUUUUCCAAAAUCUUUCUGUGGCUGGUCUAAAUUUUUACUCAUUCCAUUUGAAAUUGUUUAAACUAUUAGAAUUUACCAAAGAAAUCGUUUGUGACAACCUAGUUUGUUUGUGAUAGCCUAUUUUCCAAAAUCUUUCUGUGGCUGGUCUAAAUUUUUACUCAUUCCAUUUGAAAUUGUUUAAACUAUUAGAAUUUACCAAAGAAAUCGUUUGUGACAACCUAGUUUGUUUGUGAUAGCCUAUUUUCCAAAAUCUUUCUGUGGCUGGUCUAAAUUUUUACUCAUUCCAUUUGAAAUUGUUUAAACUAUUAGAAUUUACCAAAGAAAUCGUUUGUGACAACCUAGUUUGUUUGUGAUAGCCUAUUUUCCAAAAUCUUUCUGUGGCUGGUCUAAAUUUUUACUCAUUCCAUUUGAAAUUGUUUAAACUAUUAGAAUUUACCAAAGAAAUCGUUUGUGACAACCUAGUUUGUUUGUGAUAGCCUAUUUUCCAAAAUCUUUCUGUGGCUGGUCUAAAUUUUUACUCAUUCCAUUUGAAAUUGUUUAAACUAUUAGAAUUUACCAAAGAAAUCGUUUGUGACAACCUAGUUUGGUUGUGAUAGCCUUUUCCAAAAUCUUUCUGUGGCUAGGUUGAUUUCUGGGUUGUAUUGUUUAUUAUACUACACUCGCGCGUGAGGGGUUAUAUAAUAUAAAUAUGUCCUUUUGUUUUUCAUUGUCUUUGUUUAUAUGUUGCGGAUUCGGUUUUUUUUUGUAGGUUACCACAGAGAAUUUUUGCCAUUUUAGGUAUAAUAGUUAUAUUUUCGCGGGGGAAUGGGUAAAGGGUUAUAUGAAAGUUAUUAUUGAAAACUUCCCUUAACUUUGAUUACAUACCUUAUUGAAAAAUUAAUUUUAAGGUUUAAAAAAAAAGUAACAUAAGUUAUAAAUGCUGACUUAUUUUUGUCUCCUAAUAAUGUAGGUAAAGGUUAAUAAAAACAAAAUCGAUUCAAUUACGAACUGAGUUCAUUGCAUUGGUUACUCUAAAAAAAAUCUUUAUUAAAAAGGUGUUGAAAGUAAAUUGGAUUGAUAUAACUUCAUAUUUGCAUAAAAAUAAUUUGGUAAUAAUCUUGGUUUGUUUGGUCUAUCCAAAUUCACACAGCUAUAUUUAUUCAAGGCUAAAUUUUAUACACAGUCAUAAUCAUAACUAUCAAAUUAUUCUCGGCUAAAUAUUAAGUGCAAUCAGCAUGAGGCCUUAGUUUCAAAAAAUCAGUUCAGGAGACACUUUUUGCGGCAUUCUCCAUGAUCAUAAUGUCAUACAAGAUUUAUCUCGAGUCCAUCCUCAAACAACAUUCACAUAGGAACCUAAACAUUCUAUAUAUUUGUAUGUCCAUACAUUUUCAUGUCAGCGCGAGUGCUAGACAAAAAAUUUCUCAGCGAAGAACAACUCAAAAGUAAGCAAGAACCUGAAAAUCAAUCCUUCUGCGCAUCUACCUACUCAUAUUUUUAUACACACAACACAAAGGAUACUGUCAAGUAUAUUAUAUCAAAGCACCCACAUAACACAUCCUCUAACUGCUACUCCGCUGAACAACUAUAAUUAUUAUUAUAAUGCAAAAAAUUUCUCUGAUAUCAAAAAAACUCAAAUGCCAUCCACAACAUCAACAUGGAAACAAGUUUCUUUUUCAUUUCAAAAAUAAAUAGGUAUACACUCCAAAAAUCUUUCAUGAAAAUAUUGAAUUUCAGACCAGUUUUCGUCCACAAACACCAUAUCCAUAUAAAGAUCUAUGUAUACCUACAUCCAUUUGCAUGCCAGAUGCUCCCAGAUAGCCAUUUUAAUGUUUAAAAAUUCAACUUUUUGAAUUUUUUUUUAUGCCAUUCGUUUGUGAUUCGUUUGUGACUCGCUAGUUUUUUAGUUAUUAACAAAUAAAUAGUUUGUGACAACUUAGUUUUCGAGAAAAAUAAGAAAAACUAAUUAAAUUUCACCACACUUUCAUUUUGUUUAUCAAUAUGGGCGGAGCUAUGCAUAGGAUUCAUGAUGCUGAGGUGAGUUUUUAUACUUUGAGGUGAGCAACAUGUUGCAAAUGUAUACAAGUAUAGAAGAUUGAUUGUAAGCAAAAACUACUGUUGUUUCUACUUCAAUGAAGGGAAAUGGAGUUUGAAUUUUUUAUUUAUAAAUCAAAAUAAGUCAGCGACUACCAUUUUCAUCUAAACUCUUAUGGCUUAACCUUAUCUAAUGUUUAACUUCAUUCUAUUGAAAAUUGUUAACAUAUUUCGAACUUACUAACAAAAUCGUUUGUGGUUUAACAAAUUGUUUGUGAUAGCCUAUUUUCCAAAAUCUUUCUGUGGCUGGUCUAAAUUUUUACUCAUUCCAUUUGAAAUUGUUUCAACUAAUAGAAUUUUCUAAAGAAAUCGUUUGUGACAACCUAGUUUGUUUGUGAUAGCCUAUUUUCCAAAAUCUUUCUGUGGCUGGUCUAAAUUUUUACUCAUUCCAUUUGAAAUUGUUUAAACUAUUAGAAUUUACCAAAGAAAUCGUUUGUGACAACCUAGUUUGUUUGUGAUAGCCUAUUUUCCAAAAUCUUUCUGUGGCUGGUCUAAAUUUUUACUCAUUCCAUUUGAAAUUGUUUAAACUAUUAGAAUUUACCAAAGAAAUCGUUUGUGACAACCUAGUUUGGUUGUGAUAGCCUAUUUUCCAAAAUCUUUCUGUGGCUGGUCUAAAUUUUUACUCAUUCCAUUUGAAAUUAUUUAAACGAUUAGAAUUUACCAAAGAAAUCGUUUGUGACAACCUAGUUUGUUUGUGAUAGCCUAUUUUCCAAAAUCUUUCUGUGGCUGGUCUAAAUUUUUACUCAUUCCAUUUGAAAUUGUUUAAACUAUUAGAAUUUACCAAAGAAAUCGUUUGUGGCAACCUAGUUUGUUUGUGAUAGCCUAUUUUCCAAAAUCUUUCUGUGGCUGGUCUAAAUUUUUACUCAUUCCAUUUGAAAUUGUUUAAACUAUUAGAAUUUACCAAAGAAAUCGUUUGUGACAACCUAGUUUGUUUGUGAUAGCCUAUUUUCCAAAAUCUUUCUGUGGCUGGUCUAAAUUUUUACUCAUUCCAUUUGAAAUUGUUUAAACUAUUAGAAUUUACCAAAGAAAUCGUUUGUGACAACCUAGUUUGGUUGUGAUAGCCUAUUUUCCAAAAUCUUUCUGUGGCUGGUCUAAAUUUUUACUCAUUCCAUUUGAAAUUGUUUAAACUAUUAGAAUUUACCAAAGAAAUCGUUUGUGACAACCUAGUUUGUUUAUGAUAGCCUAUUUUCCAAAAUCUUUCUGUGGCUGGUCUAAAUUUUUACUCAUUCCAUUUGAAAUUGUUUAAACUAUUAGAAUUUACCAAAGAAAUCGUUUGUGACAACCUAGUUUGUUUGUGAUAGCCUAUUUUCCAAAAUCUUUCUGUGGCUGGUCUAAAUUUUUACUCAUUCCAUUUGAAAUUGUUUAAACUAUUAGAAUUUACCAAAGAAAUCGUUUGUGACAACCUAGUUUGGUUGUGAUAGCCUAUUUUCCAAAAUCUUUCUGUGGCUGGUCUAAAUUUUUACUCAUUCCAUUUGAAAUUGUUUAAACUAUUAGAAUUUACCAAAGAAAUCGUUUGUGACAACCUAGUUUGUUUGUGAUAGCCUAUUUUCCAAAAUCUUUCUGUGGCUGGUCUAAAUUUUUACUCAUUCCAUUUGAAAUUGUUUAAACUAUUAGAAUUUACCAAAGAAAUCGUUUGUGACAACCUAGUUUGUUUGUGAUAGCCUAUUUUCCAAAAUCUUUCUGUGGCUGGUCUAAAUUUUUACUCAUUCCAUUUGAAAUUGUUUAAACUAUUAGAAUUUACCAAAGAAAUCGUUUGUGACAACCUAGUUUGUUUGUGAUAGCCUAUUUUCCAAAACUGCAUAGAUAAUGGCUGGUUCCAUUGAAAAUUGUUGAUUAAUUUUACAGUAAAAUUUCUAUGACAGAUUUGUAUA